rnacentral:piRNA from 1 species
UAUAGUGCACAUAUCAUAACCCAUGGAUGUC